ensembl:rRNA 5S_rRNA 5S ribosomal RNA
GCUUACGGCCAUACCACCCUGAACACGCCCGAUCUCGUCCGAUCUCGGAAGCUAAGCAGGGUCGGGCCUGGUUAGUACUUGGAUGGGAGACCGCCUGGGAAUACCAGGUGCUGUAAGCU